GACGAACGCUGGCGGCGUGCCUAAAACAUGCAAGUCGAACGGAGGCUUCGGCCUCAGUGGCGAACGGCGGAGUAAUACAUGAACAACGUGCCCUAAAGACUGGGAUAGCCAGCCGAAAGGCUGAGUAAUACCGGAUGUGGCCCCUACUAGGCAUCUAGAAGGGAUUAAAUGGUUUUUCGCUUUAGGAGCGGUUCAUGGCCUAUCAGGUAGUUGGUGAGGUAACGGCUCACCAAGCCGACGACGGGUAGCGGGUCUGAGAGGACGAUCCGCUCGAGUG
rnacentral:rRNA from 1 species